rnacentral:rRNA from 1 species
AACGAACGCUGGCGGCGUGCCUUACACAUGCAAGUCGAACGGUAGCGCGGGGCAACCUGGCGACGAGUGGCGAACGGGUGAGUAAAGCAUCGGAACGUGCCCUGGAAUGGGGGAUAACGUAGCGAAAGUUACGCUAAUACCGCAUAUUCUGUGAGCAGGAAAGCAGGGGACCGCAAGGCCUUGCGCUCUUUGAGCGGCCGAUGUCAGAUUAGCUAGUUGGUGAGGUAACGGCUUACCAAGGCGACGAUCUGUAGCGGGUCUGAGAGGAUGAUCCGCCACACUGGAACUGAGACACGGUCCAGACUCCUACGGGAGGCAGCAGUGGGGAAUUUUGGACAAUGGGGGCAACCCUGAUCCAGCCAUGCCGCGUGAGUGAAGAAGGCC